ACUGCUCAGUAACACGUAGUCAACAUGCCCAAAGGACGUGGAUAACCUCGGGAAACUGAGGAUAAACCGCGAUAGGUCAUAAGUACUGGAAUGUUUUAUGGCUCAAAUCUACAUGGCCUCUGGAUUGGACUGCGGCCGAUCAGGCUGUUGGUGAGGUAAUGGCCCACCAAACCUGUUACCGGUACGGGCUCUGAGAGGAGGAGCCCGGAGAUGGGCACUGAGACAAGGGCCCAGGCCCUAUGGGGCGCAGCAGGCGCGAAACCUCUGCAAUAGGCGAAAGCUUGACAGGGUUACUCUGAGUGAUUCCCGCUAAGGGAAUCUUUUGGCAUCUCUAAAAACGAUGCAGAAUAAGGGGUGGGCAAGUCUGGUGUCAGCCGCCGCGGUAAUACCAGCACCCCGAGUGGUCGGGACGAUUAUUGGGCCUAAAGCAUCCGUAGCCGGUCUUGCAAGUCUUCCGUUAAAUCCACCUGCUUAACAGAUGGGCUGCGGAAGAUACUACAAGACUAGGAGGCGGGAGAGGCAAGCGGUACUCAGUGGGUAGGGGUAAAAUCCUCUGAUCCAUUGAAGACCACCAGUGGCGAAGGCGGCUUGCCAGAACGCGCUCGACGGUGAGGGAUGAAAGCUGGGGGAGCAAACCGGAUUAGAUACCCGGGUAGUCCCAGCUGUAAACGAUGCAGACUCGGUGAUGGGCCGGCUUCAUGCCGGCUCAGUGCCGCAGGGAAGCCGUUAAGUCUGCCGCCUGGGGAGUACGGUCGCAAGACUGAAACUUAAAGGAAUUGGCGGGGGAGCA
rnacentral:rRNA from 1 species